AUUUUACGAUCCAAAUUGGAGACUUUCCAGAGCAUCUGAGAAAUGAACAGAAUUGGUGUGAGUUAUGUGUUGCAACACCUCUGUUUAAAUUAGUCGAUAAGAUCAUAUUCAAAAACGAAACGAAACAAGAGGUUUUUGACAUGAAUUCCUCACCUCCUCCUAAAGCUCUUCUUUCUCCCUCUUCUUAUUCGUUAAUUUUCAACUACUCCCCUCCAACUCUGUUCUGUAUAAAAUUAAAUUAAUUAAGUUUUAUUCCGCAUUCGCGAGUGUUAUCGAUCGUUGUGCUCCUUCAAAAGUUUUUCUUAUUAAAACUUUUUUCGUGAUGAAUAACACGUUGAAUUCUUUGAAUGAACUUGCCUCGUGCACCUUUCCUCCUAUUGUGAAAGUUGAAGAGUUGACAGUCGGCGCGAAAUAUAAAAUUUUACAAAUCAAAAAAAUUUCUACCAGAUUCGGCCCUUGUGUGGUGUGCAGGCUCGAGGGGAAAGGUGAUAUUUUCCUUCCUAGAAGGCUAGAAAAGGACUUGGACGAUGACAUUAUAACUUAUUUGCUCGAUGGGCAAGGUUCGCAUCUCAUGUACCAGGGGAAAAAGGUUAUAUCUGGUAAACUGUUGCCAGCCAACAUCUUUGAAUUCGAGAAGAUUGAUCAUGAUGAAACGCUCCAGAAACAAUAAUUAAUAAUGUUUUCAUCAUCUUCUAAUACUACUACUUCUAAUACUGCUACCACUACUACUACUACUACUACUACUACGACUCCUACUACUACUACUAUUACUGCUACUGCUACUAAGGACAUCAUCAUCAUCAUCAUCAUCAUCAUCAUCAUCACCGAAGAUAUUGCGAAUGAGAGAGAGAAAUAUUUUAAAUAUUUGCGCCAUGAUCCACAAAAAUUCAGUAAGUUACAGAUGUUAAAUUUAAUAACGAUAAGGAAAUGGAGCAACGAAUUGUUACGAGAUGAAAAUAGAAAUAUCGAAGAAAAGAGAAAAAUGGAAAAAACCGGACGAGGGUUGUCUUCGCAAAUACCAUCUUCACCGAAACAACAAGAAGAAGAAAACGAAGAAGAAGAUUAGUCACUGGAAUGGAUUGAGAUAGCAUCGGCAUUCAAAUCGCGAAUAGUAACAGCAGCCAUCGUCAAUUUUUCGUAUGACGCAGGAAAGUUUUUAGAUACGGCUUUGGAAAUGGUUCACAAAAAAUUAGAGUCAUAUUUGGAAAAUUUCAAAGCGUUAAAAUUUAAUUUGGAAUUGAAUUUUAAAUUUAAAAAAACUUGCAACUAACGUUCCGUCUUCGAGCAAAAAGGAGAAGCCUGAAGCUGAGAUCUUGAGCGAUAGGAGUUUCAUCUGUGGCAAUAAAACACUUUUGGUCUCCUACAUGAAAGAAAGGGUUGAAGAGAUUCUAAGCGAGAAUAAGAGCAAGUUACUACAAAAUUUGGAGGAAUUCGAAUCGAAUGGAAGCGGAUGGAUACUGGACAGCGUCGUCAGUCUUUAAGUCAACAUCAACAAAUUCGCUCCAUUGUCGGCCGGUAGCUUCAUCUCUUUGUCGAAGGAACGCAGAUAGAAAGGUGGUAUAUUGAAUAUCGUUAAUCAAGAUAAAAAAUGUUUUAUAUGGUCUGUACUAGCUGCUCCUUAUAAAGUAAAUACUCUCAGCGAACUAAGUUCGAGCUAUUCUCAAAAUGUAGAGGAAAUUUUAAACCUUAAUUCGCUUUUGAUGCCUGUGAAAUUAUCAGAAAUUUACUAAAUUUGAACGCAACAAGUCUUCGAUCUUAAUAACAGUAUUCGGUUAUAGUUCUAAAGACUAAAAAAUUAUCGAUCCGCUUCACCACACCAAAGAAGUCAAACAAAAUCACAUCUAUUUACUUUAUUUAUUUAACAAAUUUCGAGCACAUUAUUGUUUAAUUACCGAUUUGGUUAGAAUCUGUUCAUCCGAAUUCUCAUAAUACUUGUUUUAUUUGCUCUAGAUGUUUAAAUUAUUUUGGUUCAAAAUCUAAAUACGAAACUUAUAUCGAGGACUGUAACUUAUUCAAAACUGUAAAGAUUGCCAUACCAGAAGAAGAAGAAUCCUAUAUUUGUUUUACAAAUUUCAAAGCUUUACUAAGUAAAACAACCUUUCGUUAUUUAUGUCGAUUUUGAAUGUUUAACAAAAAAAGUAUCAUCGUACCAACCGUCAAAAUUGAAUUCGUUUACUGAAAUUUAUCAAAAACAUAUUCCUUAUAGCGGAGCGUGUACAGUUAUUUGGUAUUUCGAUAGUUUACUAAAUUCUUUUAAAUUAUACAGAGCGUUAAACGAAAAUGAUCUUACUUCUGCUGCUCGGUUUGUUAGUCAAAUGCGUGCAGAAUGCUUGGAUUUAGAAUCUCUUUUCGAUAGUUGUCAGAAACCUAUGUCCCACUUAACGGAUGAGGAAAUCGAAAAUUUUCAGCAAACAGUUACAUGUCCCAUCUGUUCGAAUAAUUGAAUCAAUUUAAAGUGACUGCUUCUUUUUUCGAUGAUGAUGAAGAUUUCAGUUAACAUAAACAAAUACUCUCUUUCUCCGUUCGACGAUAUAUACGGUUCGUUUAUAGUCAUAAAAUAGUGACUUUUCCGUGGGGACAUUAUAAAAUUCCCAGUUUACAAGAAAAAGAAGAAGUAUGGAAGUUGAUUGUGAAGACGAUUAAUAGUUAUCUUAAUUAUGUUUAUUAAUUUUUUUUGUUUCUAUUAUAGUUUCGCUUUUAUAUAUAUUUUGUAUUUUUUAA